CCCAAGGAUCGAACCUGCAUCUCUGGCAUCUCCUGUAUUGGCAGCUAAAGAAAACAGAAGAUCGAGACAGGCUAAGUGAAGAUCACAAAGCCAGUCAAUGUGGAGCUGAAUCUGAGACUGAGGACUUCAAAUGCUUGGUUCAAAGAGCAAGCAGAGAGAUAAAAUAGUAGCAUACUGGAUUCAUUAAAUAGUAAUGAUGAUGAUGAUGAU